AAAAAUGGCUUCUGUUGUGAGUGGCACAUGCAGAGAGGCUCUGUGUGCUCUGUGGGCUGAAUCGUCAUCAAGAGAUUUCGAAAGCAUAAUAUUUUGGUUCUUGGGCAGCUGGUGAUCAUUGGUCUUAGCGCCCUU
ensembl:snRNA